rnacentral:rRNA from 1 species
UGACUCAGCAACGCCGCGUGGAUGAUGACGGCCUUCGGGUUGUAAAAUCCUUUCUGGGGAAGGAUAAUGACGGUACCCCAGGAAUAAGUUCCGGCUAACUACGUGCCAGCAGCCGCGGUAAACGUAGGGGACAAGCGUUAUCCGGAUUUACUGGGCGUAAAGCGCAUGUAGGUGGCUUGCCAAGUUGGACGUGAAAGCUCCCGGCUUAACUGGGAGAGGUCGUUCAAAACUGGCAAGCUUGAGGUUGGAAGAGGAGAGCGGAAUUCCCGGUGUAGUGGUGGAAUGCGUAGAUAUCGGGAGGAACACCAGUGGCGAAAGCGGCUCUCUGGUUCAAUACUGACACUGAGAUGCGAAAGCGUGGGGAGCGAACGGGAUUAGAUACCCCGGUAGUCCACGCUGUAAACGAUGGAUACUAGGUGUAGGCGGUCAUUAACCCCGUCUGUGCCGAAGCCAACGCGUUAAGUAUCCCGCCUGGGGACUACGGCCGCAAGGUUA